GUGCUAUUCUGCGUCGCGACAAUAUCGCAUAUGAUUCUGCAUCACGACUACGUUGCAUACGAUUUAUUUUCUGGUAUUCUUUCCCGAGACCGUAAGUUUAGGGAGGAUCUUGCAGUGCGUCAUGAGGAACAUCUUUGCUCGCGCACCCUCCGAUGAGCGAAAUAGCGGCAACGAACAAGGCAAGACUACGCAUCUUCACUGUCCCGAACCACCGCAGCUGCCGCACGUUUCACGGCUGCACUACAGGCCGGUGCUGACACCUCAACAUAUGUCACCCGGCGCUAUGGUGCGGGUAUGCGUAUCACACCAGUUGCUAGAAGAGACAAGGUCAGCCUCCAGAUAGGUGUGUCGCUUGCACACGGUCGCAGUACGUACUUGGAAUGUUCUGCAACGUUAAGGCAAGAAGCACGCACGGUAAAACCAUUGUGAAAAUUGUGAAGCAAAAAGAUGUUGCGAGAACUCUCGGGGUCAU